CGUGAUGAAUAAAAUGGAUGAACGUAAGAUCAAAUGAAAGAAGGAUAAGUGAAGGCCAUUUCAUUUCCAUUUAAGUAAAGUAAGAAGGACAACAAUGAACAGCAUGAACACAAGACAUAUUGUAUUACUGCUUUCCAUGUACCAUUCAAAAAUUGUUUGUAACAUUCUCUCAGUUUUCGUUUUGUCUUCAAUUUUUUGUACUCUGCAAUUGGUGUCAAAGCGACGUUUGAGGAUUCUUUAUUUUUCAUAUAUCAGUUAAAUGUGUAUUCUGGAGAGUAAUUAACCUAUGAUUUAUGAAAGAUUUCUACAAAGGGCCAAACAAAG
rnacentral:lncRNA from 1 species